rnacentral:rRNA from 1 species
UGGUCUUAGCUUGCUAAGGCCGAUGGCGACCGGCGCACGGGUGAGUAACGCGUAUCCAACCUGCCUUACACUCUUGGACAGCCUUCUGAAAGGAAGAUUAAUACAAGAUGGCAUCAUGAGUCCGCAUGUUCACAUGAUUAAAGGUAUUCCGGUAGACGAUGGGGAUGCGUUCCAUUAGAUAGUAGGCGGGGUAACGGCCCACCUAGUCUUCGAUGGAUAGGGGUUCUGAGAGGGUGAACGGCCACAUUGGGACUGAGACACGGCCCAAACUCC